rnacentral:lncRNA from 1 species
CUUCUAACUUAAAAUAUACUAGACUUCAGAAACCUACCUACUAUCAAGCCAUAUCUUUAAAUAGAACUUCUAUAACUUUUAGAGAAUUAGAAAAUAGUUCAAAAGAUUAUAGUAUAGAAUCUAUUAUAGAUAUUUUGUUGGGUUUCGAUGAUGCAGCAGAAUAUAGAUUUCAAAAUUUUUAACAUGCAUUCAAUAUUUAAAAACAUAGUUUAACAUUUAAACAAGACCACC